rnacentral:rRNA from 1 species
GCCACACUGGAACUGAGACACGGUCCAGACUCCUACGGGAGGCAGCAGUGGGGAAUUUUGGACAAUGGGCGAAAGCCUGAUCCAGCAAUGCCGCGUGCAGGAUGAAGGCCUUCGGGUUGUAAACUGCUUUUGUACGGAACGAAACGGUUCGCCUUAAUACGGUGGGCUAAUGACGGUACCGUAGGAAUAAGCACCGGCUAACUACGUGCCAGCAGCCGCGGUAAUACGUAGGGUGCGAGCGUUAAUCGGAAUUACUGGGGGUAAACGGUGCGAAGGCGGUUAUAUAAGACAGAUGUGAAAUCCCCGGGCUCAACCUGGGACCUGCCUUUGUGACUGUAUAGCUAGAGUACGGUAGAGGGGGAUGGAAUUCCGCGUGUAGCAGUGAAAUGCGUA